CAACGCCAACAACAUACAUAGUCUCGCCUCCUGCAGAAGUAACCCACUGGCUCUUUACAUGAAGGUUUAAGAUUCUUCCCUCCCCUACUUUUUUUUUGCCUCUUAGUUUAUUUUUUUCCCCCUUUUUUUUCUCUCCUUUUCCGUUUAGCUUUUGAUUUCUGUUUGUUUCAGCAUAUUAGAACUCCCACAGACUAACAUACCCUCACCUCCUGCAGAAAAAAAUCAACCUCUCUCUCUAUAUAGGAAGGUGAAAGAUUCUCCCCCUUUUUCUUUCUGCUUUUUCGUUUAACUUUUUAUUUUUGUCUCAGUUUCACCACAUCAGGAGUAACUUUGAGCCUUCCAGUCCGCUGAGCUGCUGAGGAACCAAGACCCCACGGACCACACCUACGUGACUGAGAGACUGAUGAGACUGUAUCGCUAUUCUUGACCCCUUGUACCCUUCCUCAUACUCCUCAUACCGUCCUCUUCCCUCCGUCCUCUUCCCUCCGUCCUCUUCUCUCUGUCCUCUUCUUCCUCCCUGUCCCUUCUGCCCUCUCUGUCCCUCUCCUUCCCCUCCUUUUCCCCAGUUCAGGUCCUCGAGGGAUGCAUGAAAAAUCGCACUCAAAUCCGCUGGAAGCCUGGGAUCUUAAAUCUUUACUAAAUUCGAACCUGCGUAAGAAAAAAGAAUAAAAAGGAAAAAAAAAGUAGGAAAUGCCUUCUUGCAUGUUCCUGGAAGCGUGACAAGACCCCCGCACUCUUCCCCCAGCCGUAUUUUAUCCCCAGGGAAGCUCACAGUGGGGGAGAGACUCAUAAACAAGGAGUCCCGGGCUGCUCCACCUAACCGCCCACUUGCCCAGAGUCUGACGUCACCGCUUCGACCUCUUUCCUUCACUCCCUGCCGCUCCAAUUCCCGUGUUUACAUCAACGUCUCGCCUCGUGCCUCGUUCACGUGUGCUCGAGACUCAAGGGUCAGGGAGUCAUGCUGGAGUCGUGUUCUGAAGCGCUUCGAAGCUUUGGUCCCUCGCUCUUGUGUUCUCUCCAGCUGUGUGUGUGUCUAUGCUCCUGUUUUAGUUCUCUUCCUCGGGUCUCCAUCUCCAAUCUUCUCUGAAUUCUGCUGACUGUGUACCCGCCGGCAGGAACAGAAGGCCUCCCAUGCGCUCCCCAAAUUUGUCCUGCAGCGGGUCCAGCAUUGUCACGUAACCUUGGGAGCGCAUCUUGUUAGCGAAGAGCACGCCGCCUGUGGGAGAGAAAGGUGAACCGCGCUGUGUUGGUGAAAAUUGAGGAAGAUCGACGGUAAGACAGUGAGAUGAUGGGAUGGAAUAGCGGUGGAAUUGUAGAGAAUGCGAGUCACGGAGGCAGAUGCAAGGGGAAGGUUUCUUCUUCGCCGCCCAGAUUCCGACGGCGAGGAUGAGGAGGUAGAAGAUGACGAUGGCGAUAAUUCCUCCCACGUUGAUCGUCAUGGUGGCUGAGUGAAGGUGAGGGGAUGUGCGGUGCUGAAGUCUUAGUGAUGAGUGCUUAGGGUUCCCGGGUCCCUUGUCACCUUAAGUUUCUGUUCGUGGAGAAAAUGGAAGUUCACAGUGCCGGCCAUCUUAGAGGACGUGUGGUGAGACGGCCGGUACCGAUGAGUUUUGUGCCUCUCCGGUGUACAUUCCCGUCUCUCAGCUGCCUGGAGUCUCUGUCAAAUGUUCCCGUGGCGUGUUGUCCUUCAAUGUCUUGUGUGCAUCGGGUCUGCGCGCCCAAUGGCAGGAAAUCACGCCAUAUGUUCCUGAUGUCAGUUUUCGAGAGCUUUCGAGACUGCGACAGACAAGACCCAUGACGAUUGAUCACCAACUUGCAUCAUUAAAUGUGUCCAUUUCUCCAGCUGCUUUCUUAUAUACUCUGGACAUGUCAGUCACAGCUAACUUCCUGCAGUCAAGCACCUCCACCACAAUGAACCUGAGACACCAAGAACUCUUGCAAGAAAACGGGAGCCUGAGAGAGAGAGAGAGAGAGAGAGAGAGAGAGAGAGAGAGAGAGAGAGAGAGAGAGAGAGAGAGAGAGAGAGAGAGAGAGAGAGAGAGAGAGAGAGA